rnacentral:pre_miRNA from 1 species
UGUAAGAUGCGAAGACUGACGGGGGGCUUGCACAUUUCCAUUUAUUGCAAACUCAUCGUCAGCCUUCUCGCAUUUUAUA